rnacentral:rRNA from 1 species
AGAGAACUUGGCAGAGAUGCCUUGGUGCCUUCGGGAACUCUGAGACAGGUGCUGCAUGGCUGUCGUCAGCUCGUGUUGUGAAAUGUUGGGUUAAGUCCCGCAACGAGCGCAACCCUAUCCUUUGUUGCCAGCGAUUCGGUCGGGAACUCAAAGGAGACUGCCGGUGAUAAACCGGAGGAAGGUGGGGAUGACGUCAAGUCAUCAUGGCCCUUACGAGUAGGGCUACACACGUGCUACAAUGGCGCAUACAAAGAGAAGCGACCUCGCGAGAGCAAGCGGACCUCAUAAAGUGCGUCGUAGUCCGGAUCGGAGUCUGCAACUCGACUCCGUGAAGUCGGAAUCGCUAGUAAUCGUAGAUCAGAAUGCUACGGUGAAUACGUUCCCGGGCCUUGUACACACCGCCCGUCACACCAUGGGAGUGGGUUGCAAAAGAAGUAGAUAGCUUAACCUUCGGGAGGGCGUUUACCACUUUGUGAUUCAUGACUGGGGUGAAGUCGUAACAAGGUAGGCGUAGCGAG